rnacentral:lncRNA from 1 species
GGAGGUGUAACACAGGGAGAAGAGCUAAUAAAUGACCUUUCCAAUACUGUGAUCAAGUUAAACCCACCAAAAAAUGAUAGGUGAGGUACCCCACAGAACUGCUAUCUGGGACUCAUGCUUCCUUCAAGCUUCCAAGUCCUGCCUGCUCCACUGACACUGGCCCAGGGAGGCUGCAAUACUUCUUCCUGAGCUAAAGGGUGGGAUGAGGCUGAAGGGGCCUCUGCACAUACCCAGCAGCAAACAGGCCUUGUGCAAAGAGCAAAUGUGCUGCAUGGCAUUAAAUACUUGCAUAUGAGCCUCCCCAGACCAUGGGGGAGAGUACCCCAGAGAGCACUGUAAAAUGUUAUAGCAGUCCAAUGAGAGGAAAGGGGGAGGCAACUGUGAAGCCCCAUGAGGUUCCCUAAGGGCACCAUCCUGCAUCUGCAGAGGAUAAAGAGGAUUUUAGACAACUGUUGGACCUUUUCUCAGCUCCAGCCAGAGGUCCUGGUGAUGCAUUGCAGCACAACAACCUUUUCCAGCUCACCACAGGGCCCUGAUGGCAUCCAGGCUGCUGCAAUACCAGGGACCUGA